UACAGAGGUCCCAAGCGUUGUUCGGAUUCACUGGGCGUAAAGGGUGCGUAGGCGGUCUGGUAAGUCUGAUGUGAAAUCUCACAGCUUAACUGUGAAACUGCAUUGGAUACUAUCCGGCUAGAGGAAUGGAGGGGAGACUGGAAUACUUGGUGUAGCAGUGAAAUGCGUAGAUAUCAAGUGGAACACCAGUGGCGAAGGCGAGUCUCUGGACAUUUCCUGACGCUGAGGCACGAAAGCCAGGGGAGCAAACGGG
rnacentral:rRNA from 1 species